CCCCCGCCCCUCCAUCCCCUCCAGCCUCCCCCACUCCCCUUCAACGCCACCCGCCACCCACACUCGGCUCCGCAGCCGGGCCCCGAGCGAGCUCCGCGAGUCCUGGCGGGAGUCGAGGGCUCCCCGGGUUCAAAGGGCCGCAGCCCCGAGGGAACGCCCUCCUUGCUGUGCCCCGGGGGGCAGAAGCGGACUGCUGGGCAGUGGGACCGGCCUGGGCCACGAUUUAAAUACGGCGACAAGGAAUACUGCAAUGUUGAUGUGGCGGUGAGCCCAGGAAAAAAACUGAAGAACUCUGCUUGAGUCACAGACAGGACAAAUAGGGAAAGUAUCACUGACCCCAGAUGUGCUGUUACCUGACUUGGGAGCCGUUGUUGAGAACCCGGCACUACCAUACCCUUUUGUACAACCAUUGUAAGUGCAAUUCAUGGGUACUCAUAAACGCGAGGAACAGAAGUGGACUUGGGCUGUCCACCCCCACCACUCUUGCUGAGGUGUCUCACUACUACCCAGACGUGUGAAUUCAUGUGACAGCUGGUAUGAGUUGUGGUCACAGAACAAAGGAGGCUAAGCGGGCAUGAUUCUCAACUUUGGCUUCAUUCAUGCCAUUUUCUACCAGUUAAGCCUCUAGAGUCAAACUUGAAGAACUAUCAAGUGGAACUCUUGAAGAAUGGACUUUCUUUCCACAGUGAAUACUUCAUUGAUUUUCAUUGGUUCCCUGAAUAAAGCAGCAAGAAACUCACCACUUCUUUAUUGAAGGCUCUGCUUCAGCCACUAUGUCAAAUAUGUUACACUCUUUAACUAAACUUAAAUAUGGUCUAUAACCCUUUGGGUGGUGGUGUUUCUGUUUCAUGGAUGAAGAUGAAGAUAUCGACACUUUGAGGUUACAAAACCAUCACCAUCAUCAACAGAAACAACGGUGUUUAACUCUGAUUGAGAAUUUACUCUGCUCCUAAAACAUGGAAAGCAUGUCACAAAUCUUCACACAACUGGGUAAGCAUGUCACAAAUCUUCAAACAAGUUUGUAAAAUAAGACUAUUAACAUUCCCAUUUUACAGUUGAAGAAACUGAGGCCUAGAGAAUUAAAUGAUGUGCCUAAGGUCACAGAAUGCAUCAUACAGAGGUGGAGGAGGAGUUAGCUUCACUCCAAAGUCUUUGAUCUUCAUUGUUAAAAUUUCUGGCCGUGUAGUAGAGUAGAAAUGAACUGAAAAUUAAUGUCAGGUUUACACAAAUUAUUUUAUUAAGAAAAGAGACCAAAUGUGGUGGUUCAUGCCUAUAAUCCCAGCACUUUGGGAGGCU